rnacentral:rRNA from 1 species
UGGGGAAUAUUGCACAAUGGGCGCAAGCCUGAUGCAGCCAUGCCGCGUGUAUGAAGAAGGCCUUCGGGUUGUAAAGUACUUUCAGCGGGGAGGAAGGCGAUAAGGUUAAUAACCUUGUCGAUUGACGUUACCCGCAGAAGAAGCACCGGCUAACUCCGUGCCAGCAGCCGCGGUAAUACGGAGGGUGCAAGCGUUAAUCGGAAUUACUGGGCGUAAAGCGCAAGCAGGCGGUCUGUCAAGUCGGAUGUGAAAUCCCCGGGCUCAACCUGGGAACUGCAUUCGAAACUGGCAGGCUAGAGUCUUGUAGAGGGGGGUAGAAUUCCAGGUGUAGCGGUGAAAUGCGUAGAGAUCUGGAGGAAUACCGGUGGCGAAGGCGGCCCCCUGGACAAAGACUGACGCUCAGGUGCGAAAGCGUGGGGAGCAAACA